ACGUCGUUUAGAGCUCGACGGUUCAACGGUCUUCACGAUCCGGCUUUGUUGAGCAACUUCCUCAAGGGCUUUGUUGUCUUUAAGAGGUUCUUGAUGAACCUUCGAUAAAAUCUGAUACCACCCAUUUUCGGAACUACUCGCACAACACUCACCCAUUCACCAUCGGAAAUAGAACAAAUCAUCCCGACCUCUACUAAGUUGACAACUUCCUUCUUUUUUAGCACUCGCAUC
rnacentral:lncRNA from 1 species